rnacentral:rRNA from 1 species
UACGUAGGGGGCAAGCGUUGUCCGGAAUCAUUGGGCGUAAAGCGCGCGUAGGCGGCCCGGUAAGUCCGCUGUAAAAGUCAAAGGCUCAACCUUUGAAUGCCGGUGGAUACUGUCGGGCUAGAGUCCGGAAGAGGCGAGUGGAAUUCCUGGUGUAGCGGUGGAAUGCGCAGAUAUCAGGAGGAACACCGAUAGCGAAGGCAGCUCGCUGGGACGGUACUGACGCUGAGACGCGAAAGCGUGGGGAGCGAACAGG